rnacentral:rRNA from 1 species
UACGUAGGGGGCAAGCGUUGUCCGGAUUUAUUGGGCGUAAAGAGCUCGUAGGCGGCUUGGCAAGUCGGGUGUGAAAACUCCAGGCUCAACCUGGAGACGCCACCCGAUACUGCCAUGGCUAGAGUCCGGUAGGGGACCACGGAAUUCCUGGUGUAGCGGUGAAAUGCGCAGAUAUCAGGAGGAACAUCCGUGGCGAAGGCGGCUCUCUGGGACGGUACUGACGCUGAGACGCGAAAGCGUGGGGAGCGAACAGG